GCCUGGGUGGCUCAGUUGGUUAAGCAUCUGACUUGGGCUCAGGUCAUGAUCUCACGGUUUGUGGGUUCGAGCCCUGCAUCGGGCU
rnacentral:tRNA from 1 species